UAAGGAAUAUUGGUCAAUGGGGGAAACCCUGAACCAGCCAUCCCGCGUGCAGGAUGACGGUCCUAUGGAUUGUAAACUGCUUUUAGUAGGGAAGAAUAGGUUUCAUUUAUGAGAUUAUGACGGUACCUACAGAAUAAGCACCGGCUAACUCCGUGCCAGCAGCCGCGGUAAUACGGAGGGUGCGAGCGUUAUCCGGAAUCACUGGGUUUAAAGGGUGCGUAGGCGGGAUAUUAAGUUUGAGGUGAAAUGCUGUCGCUUAACGAUAGACUUGCCUUAAAAACUGAUGUUCUUGAAUUGGGAUGAGGUUAGCGGAAUGUGACAUGUAGCGGUGAAAUGCAUAGAUAUGUCAUGGAACACCAAUUGCGAAGGCAGCUAACUGGUCCUUGAUUGACGCUGAGGCACGAAAGCGUGGGUAGCGAACA
rnacentral:rRNA from 1 species